rnacentral:rRNA from 1 species
AAUAUUAGACAAUGGGGGCAACCCUGAUCCAGCCAUGCCGCGUGUGUGAAGAAGGUCUUCGGAUUGUAAAGCACUUUAAGUUGGGAGGAAGGGCUUUAGGCUAAUACCCUGAAGUUUUGACGUUACCAACAGAAUAAGCACCGGCGAACUCUGUGCCAGCAGCCGCGGUAAUACAGAGGGUGCAAGAGUUAAUCGGAAUUACUGGGCGUAAAACGCGCGUAGGUGGUUCAGUAAGAUGGUUGUGAAAACCCCGGGGUUAACCUGGGAACUGCUUUCAUAACUGCUGAGCUAGAGUACGGUAGAAGGUAGUGGAAUUUCCUGUGUAGUGGUGAAAUGCGUAGAUAUAGGAAGGAACACCAGUGGCGAAGGCGACUACAUGGACUGAUACUGACACUGAGGUGCGAAAGCGUGGGGAGCAAACA